AAACCAAAAACUGAGUUUUCAGAGGCUCAAGAGUGAGUUAUGGGCAUAGCGCAGGCCCAACUUUCAAGCUACAGAAACAUCGCCGUGUAUGUUCCAACUUAAAUCUCUGUCCCUUUAUACACUCGGACACCGCCGUGAUUUUAACACUGCAACACCCUCCCUUCCCAUUUUUCCAAUGCUCCCAGAAAAACGGAGACCCAAGAAACACAUGGACCUAGUCACCCCCAAGUACCACAAGGGCGCAACAGUGUCUGGUUCCCAGCACACAGGCCACAGGUGGCGCCAGCACCCCCGCCCAGAGCCCCCGCGCCCCGUCUCUGGCCUCGGGGCAGUCCCUGACGGGAGGAUCCGGCCCUGACCCUCCGCCCCGCCAGCCGGGCAGCUCCAACACGAGGGUCAGCAUGUUCCAGGUUUUCCAGUUGGAGGAAGGGGCAGUGGUAACCAAAAGGAAAGAAUGAAAGGAUAUCUCGCCGCGACCCUCUUUACCCAGAACAUGGAGGAUAAACUACUAUAUUCUUACGAAGAAUAGCUAAUAUUUUUAUUGUGUGUGUAUGUAUAAUAUAGAAUAUGUACAUCUAUUAUUUCAACUCAGUCCUCAAAACAAUAGAGAGAAGAGGAGUAACUGAAGACAUCCUAGGAUUUGAGGAGGCCUGGGAACUACAUACUGUAGUCAAGACAUGAAACAAAUGGCAGUAUAACUACCUCCCCCAAACUCAAAGUUAUCAUCCAAGAAUGAAAUUCGGAAUAUUAAAAUGCUACAGCUAAGAUCAGUCCCUGUGGGCUGGAGUGAGGAGAGUGGGGAAUGAUUGCUAAUGGGUGCAGGGUUUCUUUUUGGAGUGAUGGAAAUGUUCUUAAAUUACAUAGGAGUGAUGGUCACACAACUCUAUGAAAAUACUAAACCGCAAAAUUGUGAACUCUAAAUAAAGGGUGAAUUUUAUGUUAUGUGAAUUGUAUCUAGAUAAAACUUUUUUUAGAUAAAUUAAUUUAUACUAGAAACUAAAUAAUGAAUCUACCUCUAUCACAGCCCUUAAGAAAAAUUAAAAUUAAAACCCGUUGUAGAAGAGAGCUAAGAAAAUGACACACAAAAAUCUAAUCAAGGUAUUUUGAAUAUAGCUUCUGAGAAGCAGCCUGGAUUUACUCAAAUAUAUUUUAAACAUCUAUAUUACAGAUCAGACACUGUGUGUGAUGCUAGGAAGAUAAUGAUAAACAGCACAGAUGACUUGCUAAGUGACUGCACUACAAAUGGUGACUGGGGGCAUGGUGUCUAGAAAAGGAGAGUUCAGAAGGGAAAAAUAUUGGCAUAUUCCUUCAGUACAUCUAGAGUUGAGGGUACUCAGGCCCACAAACAAACCUAUGUAACAGGAAUAACAAUAAACUUUUAUUAAGCACUUACCAUGUGCCAGCCAUUGGAAGUGCUUUACAAAAUUAUUUAAAUCUCAAAACUCUGAGGUAAUCAUUAUAGACCUAUAAAUCCCAUAUUCAAAAUCCAUAGGGCCAGACAUUUCAGAAUUCAGAAAAUUCAAGUUUUAGAAAAGUAAAACAGUACAAAUACUUCAUAUUAUAUAACACCCCAAAGGCA